CACCAGCCCCUCGAGUGGUAGGGACUUUUAUUUGGCCUAAAGCGUUCGUAGCCGUCUGUAACCGUUGCCCGUUAAAUCCAGCGUCUCAAGCGUUGGACUGCGGGCGAUACCUUACAGAUUGAGGGUGGGAUAGGUAAGCGGUAUUUCUGGGGUAGGGGCGAAAUCCUUUGAUCCCAGGAGGACCACCAGUGGCGAAGGCUGCUUACUAGAACACGCCUGACGGUCAGGAACGAAAGCUGGGGUAGCGAACCGGAUUAGAUACCCGGGUAGUCCCAGCUGUAAACGAUGCGCGCUAGGUGUUGGGUCGGCCAUGCGCCGCCCCAGUGCCGCAGGGAAGCCGUUAAGCGCGCCGCCUGGGGAGUACGGCCGCAAGGCUG
rnacentral:rRNA from 1 species